rnacentral:rRNA from 1 species
UACAGAGGUCUCAAGCGUUGUUCGGAUUCAUUGGGCGUAAAGGGUGCGUAGGUGGCGGGGUAAGUCUGGUGUGAAAUCUCGGAGCUCAACUCCGAAACUGCACUGGAUACUGCCUUGCUCGAGUACUGGAGAGGAGAUUGGAAUUUACGGUGUAGCAGUGAAAUGCGUAGACAUCGUAAGGAAGACCAGUAGCGAAGGCGAAUCUCUGGACAGUUACUGACACUGAGGCACGAAGGCCAGGGGAGCAAACGGG